UUUUUUUUCCUCUUUUUUUCUUUUUUGAAUUUUUCCUGAUUCUCUUGGACUUUUAUAUACAAUGGCAGGCGGCGGCAUGGGAGGCUCGUACUCCAAAAAAAUAGGAUUCGUCUACAUCUUUAACUUAGU
rnacentral:ribozyme from 15 species